GGAUGUGGUGGAAUUGGUAGACACACUGGAUUUAGGUUCCAGCGCCGCAAGGUGUGAGAGUUCGAGUCUCUCCGUCCGCACCA
rnacentral:tRNA from 1 species